AGAGAAGCAGCAGGGCAUGCAAGCCGCCUCGCUCGCUCAUUCCCAUCCACCCCCCAUUCGGCUGCAUCGCAUGUGCGUGUUUAGGGAGAGGGAAGCCGCGUCCCCCGUGGCCGGUCCUUGUGUCUGGCGGGUGCCCUUACUGUGCGAGGGGGCGGCGCAAUGCGUGUGCGGAAGGGCGGCCUCCCGGACCCAGGCGGCCCAGGGCUGGCCCAGGAACGCCUCGGGACUGGGCACGGGCCGCUCCAGGGCCGCCAUGGCGCCGCCGCUCCUCCUCCUCCUGCUCUUCUUCUUCCUCUCCUCCUCCGUCGUCGUCGUCUUCUUCUUGCCGCUCCCCUUCUCGCCGCCGCCGCCGCCGCUCCUCUUGCCUUCUUGCUGCUUUUCCCGUUUCCUUCGGCACCAACGAGCGAGGAGCCAGCGAGCGAGACACGGAAUUCGAGAACGCCGCACGUCAUCCUCGGGACGUUCCACCGCCCAUACGGGGGUAGUGUCAGCCCUUGCUCCCUAUCAGAUCGGGCUCCCCGGCUCCGGGCGCGCAGGCGCGCUGGGGAGAUGCGAAGCCGUGCCCUUAAACGUUCGCUUCCCUUAAGUCGUGAAGGAAAAAGGACCGCGGUGUGAGGGGGGAUUCGAAUAGAAAGUGAGGGGAGAGGAGGAGAGGGAACCAGGCUUGCGCUGUGGCAUGCACCGCCACCAGCCGGCCAGGAUAGACUGAGGUAACAAAUUCUUUCAAGUGAAGAAGAAACUAAAUCUGUAGUCAUGCAGAACUUGUACUUUACACCUGGCAACAGAGUAUUGUUUUUAAACUGUAACUUCCUUAGAGUUAAACUUUCAAGACACACCGCAGACCAUCUGAAUGAAGCUCGUGGACCACUGGUGGUUUGAGGACUACAGUUUGGGAACCCCUGCUUCAGUGGAUAAAUGAUUAUAGUUUAAUACUACAGAAAGAUUUUUGGAAACAUUUAAAAACUAUUCUAAUUUUUCUACCUUUUGCAGAUAGGUUAAAGGUCUAUAUACUCUCAUUUUGCAUGGAUGGAACUUUCAUGACUGAACUUCUUGAAUAUUAUUUCUUCUUCCUCUGCCACCCUCCCUCCACACACAUAUGCAGAUCUCCAUAAUUAAUUACUAUGGCAAAAUCUUGCCAUCCCACUUUUUGAGAAAGCCCUAAAUAGUGAUGGGGAAUCUCACAUUGCAAUGUUGGUACAUGUAUAAUCAUAAGGUUAUGCUAUCACCCUUGAAAGUCAUUGCUGUCAUUUCAGGAUCUUCAUUUGUUUUCAUCGGAAGUCUCUAAUUCUCCUUUUAUUGUUUUCCCUCCUCUUAUAGUGAUGGAAAAGUAGCUCCCAUGCCCAAAGAUGCAUACAUUCUGUGUGUGAGUUCUUGCUUUACUACAGGUUUUUAAGCUGUAUAAUAGGCAAAUAA